rnacentral:rRNA from 1 species
GACGAACGCUGGCGGCGUGCUUAACACAUGCAAGUCGAACGGCAAGGCACUGCUUUUGUGGGGUGCUCGAGUGGCGAACGCGUGCGUAACACGUGAGUAACCUGCCCUUGACUUUGGGAUAACUUCAGGAAACUGGGGCUACUACCGGAUAGGAGCUCCUGCUGCAUGGUGGGGGUUGGAAAGUUUCGGCGGUUGGGGAUGGACUCGCGGCUUAUCAGCUUGUUGGUGGGGUAGUGGCUUACCAAGGCUUUGACGGGUAGCCGGCCUGAGAGGGUGACCGGCCACAUUGGGACUGAGAGACGGCCCAGACGCGUACGGGAGGCAGCAGGGGGGAAUAUUGCACAAUGGGCGGAAGCCUGAGGCAGCAACGCCGCGUGCGGGAUGACGGCCUGCGGGUUGUAAACCGCUGUCGCCUGUGACGAAGCGGGAGUGACGGUAAUGGGUAAAGAAGCACCGGCUAACUACGUG